rnacentral:rRNA from 1 species
UACGUAGGGGGCAAGCGUUGUCCGGAAUCAUUGGGCGUAAAGCGCGUGUAGGCGGUUCAGUAAGUCUGCUGUGAAAGUCCAGGGCUCAACCCUGGGAUGCCGGUGGAUACUGUCGAGCUCGAGUCCGGAAGAGGCGAGUGGAAUUCCUGGUGUAGCGGUGAAAUGCGCAGAUAUCAGGAGGAACACCAAUGGCGAAGGCAGCUCGCUGGGACGUGACUGACGCUGAGACGCGAAAGCGUGGGGAGCAAACAGG